UACGAGUUUGAUCCUGGCUCAGAUUGAACGCUGGUGGCAGGCUUAACACAUGCAAGUCGAGCGGCAGCAAGCCUUCGGGCGUUGGCGAGCGGCGGACGGGUGAGUAAUGUAUAGGAAUCUGCCUGGUAGUGGGGGAUAGCCCGGGGAAACUCGGAUUAAUACCGCAUACGCCCUACGGGGGAAAGGAGGGGAUCUUCGGACCUUUCGCUAUCAGAUGAGCCUAUGUCGGAUUAGCUAGUUGGUGAGGUAAAGGCUCACCAAGGCGACGAUCCGUAACUGGUCUGAGAGGAUGAUCAGUCACACUGGAACUGAGACACGGUCCAGACUCCUACGGGAGGCAGCAGUGGGGAAUAUUGGACAAUGGGGGAAACCCUGAUCCAGCCAUGCCGCGUGUGCGAUGAAGGCCUUCGGGUUGUAAAGCACUUUCAGUCGGGAGGAAAGGUUGCAAGCUAAUAUCUUGCAAAGUUGACGUUACCGACAGAAGAAGCACCGGCAAACUCCGUG
rnacentral:rRNA from 1 species